AUUGAAACACCGGUUCCCGUACAAUCACUGAAGUUAAGCAACUUCAAGCUUGGUGAGUAGCUUGAUGGGUGACCACUUCAGAAUACCAGGUGUUGUAAG